AUAUCUAUGCCCUUUGGCUAAGAUCAAGUGUAGUAUCUGUUCUUAUCAGUUAAAAAUACUAAAAAAGUAUUUUUCUUCAUUUUUAAAUAAGAACAUAACCUUAC
ensembl:snRNA U2 U2 spliceosomal RNA